rnacentral:lncRNA from 1 species
AUCUCUUGGAGUUCUAGCUCAGCUUUCUGGUAUUGUUCUUGUACUCAUCUGUUUAAUCUAGUUCUAUCACUUCUUCUUGAACUUCUUGUUAUAUUUCAAGUCUGUAUUUUGUGUCCGUGACACCUUAGCUUACCCUUUUUAUAUUUUAUCCAAUCAACUUAGAUUUUUUUUAGAAUAUUCUUAUUGAAAGAUUCUAUCUAAAUAAUUACCUUAAGAUCUUUUUAGAAUGUUCUAUGGUGGAUUCUAUAUAGUCUAUUAACCUAGCUUCAAUUCUAAAAACUUCUACAAAAUUUUCAAACAUGGUUCCAACUAUCUAUCCCUAUGCAUUAACAAUAGAAAUAUCUUAUCUAUAUUCCUUUACAGAAUCAUUGGAAGAAAUUUUUGAUUUAAACUUUAUUUUUAUUUUGACUAUAAUUUGGUUUGUACUUGACAUCUUUACACCUUUUUAUUUUAUACUUUGAUUUUUCUUUUUUCUUAUAUUCCUACCAUUUUUGCUUUAGUUAUAUCUAAGAUAUCUGAUCUACUUAAUAGAAAUUGACUUUGUAAAUAUUUUAUCUUAUUUUGAAGAUAAAAAGAACUUUGAGAGUAUUUAUGGUAAAUAUAGCAUCACCAUAAUUAGUAAUUAUCUAAAGAUAAAGACAAAAAGCUUGAUUAUGCUCAAAUAUAUAAUCAAAAAUCUAAGCAAUUAAUGACUUAAUCUUGAAUAUAAGACUAUAAGAUGCCAUCUUUAAACUCAUAAGAAGAAACUUAUUAAACUCUUCAAAAACUUGUAGAAGAUUGGCUAUAGUAUUACUAAGAUUGAAAAUAAUAAGAGAGUGUAUAUUAUUGAGCAAAAAUUCAACAAAGUAUAAGCUAUUUCAAGAGGAUGAAAAAAUUAUUUUAAGAAGAUACAACCAUAAAGCCAAUACAAGUUUUGGACUCCUUGGUUUCUUUUGGCAAUGUGAUUGGCUUACUUGAAGAGCUUCAAGAAUCCAACAACAAUGAAUUUGAAGUGGAAGAUAGGAAUUUAAAGUUCUCUUAUACUAAAUAUUUUUUAAGAUACUUGUAUAAUAAAAGUAUUAUUAUAGAUAGUAGAGUUGUGGAAAGAAUCAAGGUAGCAAAAGUGAUAAGCAAUGACUUAUUAGUCAUUGUUGUAAACAACCUUAAAAGAUAUCAAGUAUUUUUACUUGCAAUUAAAGUAAAU